AUACAUGAGUUGCAAACAUUUGUUUACAAAAUUAUAUCAUAUGGAUAAAUUUGUUUGUCAAGAGAAAUUUUUUUAACCUUGGUAUAGUGUUGAGUCAUAAAGUUUAAUGUUUAAAAAAAGGUGACCAUAAUUACCAAAAAAAAAAGUUUUCUAAGCCAUUAUUACCUUUCUCAAAUGUCAUAAAUGUUGAAAUAUUUUAUCUUUAAUGAUUUAUAAGCUAGCCUCUAGAGUUAAAUUAUUCUCUCAGUCAUAAAUGCACACUUCAUGCUGCCAAAGUUCACAAUUAAUAUACACUUAAAGGUCUUACGCAAGGAAAUAGCCAAUCAAAAUGAUUUAAUCAAUUGUAGUUCUAUAUGUAAUGGUUUGGGCCGUGGAUAUCGGCCUGGGUAGCUCAGUCAGUAGAGCACCUGACUAGUGAUGCAGGGGUCCCGGGUUCGAUUCCCGGUCCUGCCAUACAUUUUCUCAUUUCCUGUUACAGAUUUGGUGCCGUUGACCACCCCUGGACUUGGAGGUGAAAGUCCUCCCAGGGGCAAAUAAGAACUUGGGUUGCGUCUUCGAGGGCGAAGACAAUUUAAGGAGGGAGGAAUGUAAUGGUUCUGGCCGUGGAUAUCGGCCUGGGUAGCUCAGUCGGUAGAGCACCUGACUAGUGAUGCAGGGGUCCCGGGUUCGAUUCCCGGUCCAGCCAUACAUUUUCUCCUUUCCUGUUACAUAUAUAUAGAGAGACAAUUUCUUUUCCUUUUCUUUUCUUUUUUGGCAUCUUAUUUUAGGCCUACAGUAUUAAUUUUAGGCUCAUUUACUAGGAAUAUUAUAACUUUAUUGGAAUUGUCCCACUGAACUAAAGGGAACUCUUUUUUCAGGUGCGCAUGAUGCAACUUCCUGGAUGGUGUGUAGUCUGUUUGUCAACAUGUGAAACCCACGUGUAUUUUGAGGAGUAGCCUCCCCUGUUAAAGAUCAAUAAUGGUGGAUAAACAAUGCAGGAUGCUGUCAUGUCAUCAACAGAGAGUUUUGACACCCGUAUACCCGUAUUUCUACCAAUCACCUCUGUAACCUUUGUUGUGUUCAUCAGACAGAUGAUGGACCACUCUACUUCCUUUUACAACAGGUGCCCCUACAGAUUCACAAAGCUCCAAUGUUGAUUUUCCAUGACCCCCAUUCAGUGAGUGCACAACUUUAUUCCGCGACAGGAAAAGGAAUGAAGUUGACAGGAUUUCCCGCACUGUCCUUGGUAGCAGCUUAUGAUAGAAUGGACAGCAGUAGACAUAGCCCGCUUCAUCAAAGGUCUGUUGCAUGUUGGUAGCUAAUGCUGGUUCAAUAUUUGCGCCAAGAAGCAUACCACGCAUACCCUCUGUAGUAAGGCUGGUACCCAUGUGACCGACAGCCAUAGCCACAUUUAGCUGUGCAGUUCUGCGUCCCCUUCUGGAUCUCCCCACCUCUUCAUACAGCUUUUCACGGCGACUUGUAUAGUGGCACUUCUUACAUCGGAUGGAAAGGAUCCAUGCCAGGCCUCGUUUUUCCUCCCCAUACUGGUUCCAGUCCAGUGAACCAUUACAGUCUGGAAACUUCUAGCUGCCUGGUCUUCUAAGAGAAACUUCAUUCUUUGAUGACUGAUGGAAAAGCCUCAUCACUCCCUACUGCUAAAGAACCACUUAUCUUAAUCACCAGCCAUUUAUCAGUGAUCACUGUUAUCAAAGCUCCAUGGUGCGCAUGAUGCAACUUCCUGGAUGUUUGUCAACAUGUGAAACCCAUGUGUAUUUUGAGGUAGGUGUGUUUACUGUCAAUUUUCUCUCUUAAAUGCCGCAUAAGGCGUCUUUUUCUGAUCUCAAAUUUUUGC